rnacentral:lncRNA from 1 species
GUUUAUUUCACCCAGGUGCAGGUGGGCUGAGUCCGAAAAAGGAGUCAGUAAAGGGUGGUGGGAUUAUCAUUAGUUCUUACAGGUUUGGGAUAGGCGAACAAAGUACCUUCUUAAGGGUACUUUGAAUAUUACAAAGUACCUUCUUAAGGGUACUUUGAAUAUUACAAAGUACCUUCUUAAGGGUACUUUGAAUAUUACAAAGUACCUUCUUAAGGGUACUUUGAAUAUUACAAAGUACCUUCUUAAGGGUACUUUGAAUAUUACAAAGUGGUACUUUGAAUAUUACAAAGUACCUUCUUAAGGGCAGGGGAGAAUAUAUUGUGUCAGUUAGGGUGGGGCAGGAACAAAUCACAAUGGUGGAAUGUCAUCAGUUAAGACUAUUUUCACUUCUUUUGUGGAUCUUCAGUUGCUUCAGGCCAUCUGGAUGUAUACAUGCAGGUCACAGGGAAAAUGAUGGCUUAGCUUGGGCUCAGAGGCCUGACAACAGGGAGUAAUGGGGCUUAUGGGAACAGAGAAAGGCAUCUAGUCCUCCCCACUGGGCUCUGCAUAGGUUGGUGAGAUAGGAUUUUAGAAGGGGGCCACUAAAGAUUCCUAGGUACCUGCCGGGCAUGGUGGCUCAUGCCUGUAAUCCCAGCACAUUGGGAGGCCAAGGCAGGCAGAUCACCUGAGGUCAGGAGUUUAAGACCAGCCUGGCCAACGUGGCGAAACCCUGUCUCUACUAAAAAUACAAAAAUUAGCCGGGAAUGCCCGAAAGAUUCCUAGGUAACUGGUCCAGUACUUUUCAAACUUGACAGAGGACAUGAGCGCCUAGGGAUCUUGUUAAGCUGCAGACUGACUCAGCCCGUGUACGGUGGGGCUUAAAUUCUGCAUUUAUUUAUUUAUUUAUUUAUUUAUUUUUAUUUUUAAUUUUUUUUUUGAGAUGGAGUCUCCCUCUUGCUCUGUCGCCAGGCUGGAGUGCAGUGGCGCAAUCUCGUCUCACUGCAACCUCUGCCUCCCAGGUUCAAGCGAUUCUCCUGCCUCAGCCUCCUAAGUAGCUGAGACUACAGGUCUGUGUCACCAUGCCCAGCUAAUUUUUAUAUUUUUAGUAGAGAUGGAGUUUCUCCAUGUUGGCCAGGAUGGUCUUGAUCUCUUGACCUCGUGAUCCUGCCCGCCUCGGCCUGCCAAAGUGCUGGGAUUACAGGCGUGAGUCACCAUGCCUGGCCUGCAUUUUUUUUUUUAAGAGACAGGGUCUUGCUCUCUGGCCCAGGCUGGAAUGCAGUGGCACCAUCAUAGCUCACUGCAGCCUCCAACUCCUGGGCUCAAGUGAACCUCCUGCCUCAGCCUCCUGAGUAGCUGGGACUACAGGUAUGUACCACCAUACCCAGCUAGUUUUCCUUUUUAAUUUUUUUUUCCUUUUUUAUAUCUUGUUGCAUAUCAACAUUUUUUAUUUUUAGUAGAGACAAGGUCGUGCUAUGUUGCUCAGGUGUUCUCAAACUCCUUGCCUCAAGAGAUCCUCCCCUCAGCCUCCCAAAGCUCUGGGAUUGCAGGCUUGAGCCACUGGAGCUGGCCUGAGACUCUGCAUUUCUAACAAGCUCCCAGGUGAUGCCAAAGAUGCUGGUCUCUGGCCCAUGCUUGGAGGUGGGAGGGACUAGUCUCUCAUUUUGAAGAUGGAGAAACUAAGACUGAGAGAAGGAGGCAACCUGCCUAAGUCACAGGGCUGCUAAGUGAUAGAUCUGGAUCUAGAAAUCAAGUCCCAGGGGCUUUUGUUUCAUUGUAGUGGCUGAGCGCCUUGACUUGAGUGUUACCCUCGGGGUAAGUCCCCAGGGACACCACCUUUCUCCUUCCUCGGCUGCAUAUAUUGGGGCAGAGGCCCUUUGCCACGACUCCCCCCACCACACGCUGUGAACCAGCUUCAGCUCUUUAGCUGGCCGCCUCAACAGCCCAGUGCCUCCCCUGGGCCAUCCAAUCCCAUGUGGGGUGGGCCUGGAACUUCCCCUCGAGCUCAGAACAGUUCCACCCCCUGCAGCUUCACUCCCACUUCACAGACUCAAACUCCCUCCCAAGGGUGCAGGGAGGAUCUGCAGUCCUGGUCUUUGCAGUCCUCUCUGUCUCUGGGCCACCACCAAGUGGGAUCUCCAGGGUCCUCAGGAGCACUCCUCCUGCCAGCGGGUACAAGCUUCUCUGACCUGAGAGCAGCACUUUGACCUCACCCUCAACACUCCACCUCUCUGUCACCCAAGAGGAGUAGCUUCUCCCAGCAGGCUCCGCUCCUCCCAUCGUUUCGUGCUCAACGGCAAGGUAAAAGAGACCUCAUUUUCAAAACUGGGACCCAGAGCCACACAUGCAGAGAACGGAGGAGCUAGGAUUCCAGUGCCUGGCUGGGCCCAUACUCUCUGCUCAGCUGCCCACAUUGACAUCAGCGGGAGACAGGCACAGACUUCUGCCCACACGUGCUGGUCUCACCACUGACCAAGACCCAAUCAGCUACAAUGAGGAGAGCCUUGAUGCAGGGGUGCGGCAUCAGAAAAGGAAAGCUCCCGGUUCACCCCAGAGUUGCCUUAGAGCGAUGGUACCCAGCUCCUGGGGCCUGGCAAGGGGGACAUAGGUUUGCUCUCGUAUCCUGGAUUCAAGCAGUGCUUUCCAGGGCAGUGGCAGCCCCAGCCCUUUGCUGCUAAUUUUCAGGGCUGGAGGCCAGGAAGGAAAACCCCAGCAGCUCUGUCUUGCCUCCCUGCUGCUCCACAGUCCCUCCACUGGUAUGUACCCUUGGCCCCAUAAAUUCUACUGACUGCAUCACUGUUGGGAUUGGCAGUGGCUGCACAGGUCUGUGGAGACUGGGUGAUCCACUUACUCCCAAGAUGGUUGGCUGUCCCCGGAAAAAGAGCUUCUCUCUGCUGGGGUGGGCAUUGCCCAGGGUCUCAGCCUACCAGGAUGGCUCCUCUGGGCUCUGCCAUGGCACCCCUGAGUUUUCAGAAGGAGGGAGCCUCACUAAUUGCUGCUGCCCUGUCAGCUGGCUUCAGAAGGCAGGUGGGCUGUGGGCUGGGCUGCCUCAUGUCUCCUGGAGGGAGCUGGAGCCUGGGUCUUGCUUUUGACAUUUCAGACACCUGCAGCACACACAACUGGGGUCCCAGGAUGAGGAAGAACAUUCACAGGCAGAUCCCCAUUUCCUGGGUCUCAGUUUUCCCAUCUGAAAAGUGAAGCUACGUCACCAGGAGGAGUGAUUGGUAAAACAUGAAUUGUGUGUAAUUCUUAGCAGCUAAAAGCAAAGGUCAGGAUGUCCACAGAGAGCAACGUGGUGGCUCUUAGACACAGGCUGAGAGGGGGAAAAAAAGAACCAAAAUGAGACAAAACAAUACCAUACACACAAGUUAAAUAUGUGUACACUAAUAUCCUGUAACACAACAUGCAUUAAAACGUGCUGAAGUUGUUACCUGGGGCUGGAAGGCUGUGGGGAAUGGAGGUAAAAGGGAGUUAAUGAGACAGAGGUAAGGGAAGAAGUUUGGACCUGGUGACAACCACUACAACCUCAUGCUUACCAGCAUGCAUUUAUAAUGUGGUAAGCCCAAUCUCCAUUUCACUCUUAUGCAAACUGAGGACCAGAGAGGUUAAGUAACUUGCUUGGAUGACACGGUUAAUAAAUAGUGGAGCUGGGAUCUAAAUCCAAGACAGCUGGCUAGAAAACCUGGGUUUUUUUCCUGCUUUACGAUACAUCCCCACUUAUCUCCCAGGCCAUUCCCUUCUAGUCCGCCAGGCUAGUUAAUAACACCACCAACUCCACAGCCUACACCUGUCUGUAUGGCUUGUUACCACUUACCUGGAGUCUUCACACAUGGUCCUGUGCUUAAUUACUAAGCCUCCUGUGUGAUGAGGCCUGGGAGCAACCCUCCAGUUGGCUCAGGUCAGACAGACUGUAAAUAGUCGGGCCUAUAUUGGAACCCAUGGCUUCUGACUCCUGUCCAGUGUUCAUCCCACUGCCUCCCUAAGCAAAAGUGAGAGACAUUAAAAGAAAAAUAAAAAGCAACACAAAAACAAAAAACCGAAAACAUGCCUCCAAUUCUAAGCAAACCCAGGAACAGAGAGCUGGGAGGUCCCUGGGAUCCUAAGGCCUGAAGCUCUUGACCUUCACCUGGUCAUGGGGCUCUCUGUCCAGCAGCCUGGACACAUCUUCACCUCUCCUGAUAUCACUCCUUCUCUGCCUCAACCUGUGCUCUCACUGCCCUCCAAACAUGCUUCACUGAGGUCAUUGCUGAGCCUUUGCACAAGGCGUGUCUAUGCCCUGCAACCCAUUCCUUUUCCUUCUUUCUCC